rnacentral:rRNA from 1 species
UACGGAGGGAGCUAGCGUUGUUCGGAAAUACUGGGCGUAAAGCGCGCGUAGGCGGCUUUGUAAGUUAGAGGUGAAAGCCCGGGGCUCAACCCCGGAAUUGCCUUUAAGACUGCAUCGCUUGAAUCCGGGAGAGGUGAGUGGAAUUCCGAGUGUAGAGGUGAAAUUCGUAGAUAUUCGGAAGAACACCAGUGGCGAAGGCGGCUCACUGGACCGGCAUUGACGCUGAGGUGCGAAAGCGUGGGGAGCAAACAGG